GCCAGCAUGGUAUAGUGGUUUGAACACUGGACUAGGAUUCUGGAGACCAGGGUUUGAAUCCCUGCUUGGAUA
rnacentral:tRNA from 1 species